UUUCCGUAGGUGAACCUGCGGAGGGAUCAUUCAUAAUAAAGUGUUUUAUGGCACUUUUUAAAAAUCCAUAUCCACCUUGUGUGCAAUGUUAGAUCUCGUCAAUCUUGGCGAGAUUUUUAUACAUCAACUCAUUCUUUAACUAAUUUGUCUGAAAAAUAUUAUGAAUACUUAAUUCAAAAUACAACUUUCAACAACGGAUCUCUUGGCUCUC
rnacentral:misc_RNA from 1 species